rnacentral:lncRNA from 1 species
GGCCCCGCCCCGAGGUGCUGGUUGAGAAAGGGCGCUCAACACUAGAGCGCAUCCCUGGAGGCCGCUGGAAACUUAGGGAGAGAAAGAAAACAGGAGCGAGGAGCAGUUUCUGUAAGAGGCCCUGAGAAAUUCGCUUCUCUCACGCUAAACCCUAUGUUAUUCACCUUCUUGCCUUACCUCUCUGCAUCGUAGCCCUGCUGACAUCACCUGUGCCUCUAGAAGAAGAGAAUGAGUGGUUUCUAGAACCAGGAAUCAAUGGCUACAGGGAUGGGGCCAUUGGAUAGAAGCUGUCAGCAGAAGGACGCAGGACACUCCCAGUGACCUGAAGGGAGGGAACCAGGAAAAACAGCUCCAAUGGUCUUUCGCCAUUCACCUUGAAUGCUGAAACCUCGUGUGCUUCUUCUGGAGUGAGGCAUGUAGAGGGGCUGCCAGCUAGAGAACAGAAUCCUCAAGUGCUCCAGGAGCAGCUGACAUGCCUGCACCCGGAGCCACCUCCAUCUCACCCCGACUCCCUGGCACCAGGAGACUCUGAAAGUAAAAAAUCAAGAGAGUCCACAAAGAUUACCUUUCUGGUCAAUACUCUCCAUCACAUCAAGGAAGGAGAUGACCAUUCCCCUGCAGCUGCCAGCUUCACAAGGAAGUUGACAAUUGAAGCGGAUCAUGGAGAAGGUAAUAAUAACCAUAGCCACAAGCCUUUGUACCCCAUUACGAUAAACCAGGCAUAUUCAGAUGCCUUAUUCAACACACUUAAGGGCAGGUAUUAUUAUCUGCAUUUUACAGGAGAGCAAAUUGGGGAACAGUAAAGGAUGCUCAAGAUAGCAGGAAGGUUUGAAACAAAGUAAGGUGCAAAGGUGAAAAUAUUCUGCUGAACAAUUUUUUUUUAAACUCCAGGCAAGUUAGAAGUGUGUAGUGGGGAGAGGAGAUUGCAGACUAUACUUUGGGAGUCUUGGAUAAUGGGGACUGACUUAUUUUUUACUCCCUCCUCUUUCUCCACUGGAUUUUAUGACCUAAUUUUGGGGUCACAAAAUAUCAGGCUCAAUUGUAGGUUCACCAUCCUGUGCUUUGCCAUCAAAUGGUGGGAUUUCUCAUGAGUGCCACCCCUAGAAUCUCAUUUCCUUUGUACUUUAUCUCUAGAAAAUCCAGCCCUCUAUGUGGAGCAAUUUUCCUUAUGUUAUAUCUGCUCAAACAACCUCAUUUCUUUUUUUUUUACCCCAAGAAACACAUCUCUUUUUAUACAUAUUCACUCAUUAGCAUGAUUAUUUGAUUAAAAAGAAUCAUUAAAUAAGUAAAUGAGUAGCUAUGUCACAACUAAGUAAAAUCUUACUUGAAAAAUAAUUUUCUUUCUACUCUAGAAUAGACUUCUUUUUCAUAGCAAAAUUUUCCCUCACUAAUAUUUGAAAGGCUUCCUAACUUCUAAGGUUAUACAUAAAUUCACCUGUAUUUUCCUGCUAAUAGCUUGAAAAUGGUGAUGAUAUGGUGGUGAUGGGGAAGGAAAAUCGGCUCAGAUGGAGGGCUGGAUGGUGGUGAUGAUGAGACGGAUGACGAUGACGUUGAUGAAGAUGAUGAUGGUGAAGAAGAUGGAAGUGGUGGUGAUGAUGGUGGUGAUGAUGAAGGUGAAGAUGUUGAUGAUGGUACCCAACACCUCUUCAGCUCUGGCUAUAAGUGCAGCCAAGUGGUCCCUUCAAUUUCCACAACACCUCUGCAAUAUAAGUAGUGUUGUUAGUUCCAUUUUUCUUUUUUUUUUUUUGGAAAAAGAAUUAAGGCUUAUAUUUUUUAAGGACCUGGAUCAAGGUCACCAGGCCAGCUGAGUCAUGGAGCCAGGAUCCUGAGACAAUGUGACUCCAAAGGCUAGGAUGCUACUACAUUCUACUUAUUUAUUUUUCAAAUCAUCUCUCAAAGGAAUGAGUAUGAUUUCCAUAAUUAAAUGCCCCCUAGCCUCAUCCCUCCUUCUGUGGGCUUUAGUCCCUUCUCCUCCAAUGUCAUUCCCAGUUCUCAAGUUGAGUUCCUAUGAGAAACAGCAGGGUUGCUGUCCUUUCCCUUGCUUAUAUACCGUGCAAACAGAUUCUAUUCACAGGGGCUUGCAAAGGACCCUUUUAUAUCAGGCAGUGUUGAAAGCAACAAUGAAAAACACUUUUAGCUUCAACUUCCCAUAUCUUCCAAUGGAAGUAUUUGCUUUCCAGAAAUGCCCAGCAUAACCUAGAGCAAUGGAUUUCUGCGUGGUCUCUGGGCCAGCAGCAUCUUGUUUGAAAUACAAAUUCUCAGGUCCUAGACCCACCGCCUCAGAAACUCUAGGGUCUUUGCUUUCCCAAGCCUUCUGAUGAUUCUGAUAUUGGUAACCAUUGACGUAUAAUACCUUCUUCGUAAGCCAGUUAUUAAAAUAAUAGUAAGACAGAAAGCAUGCUCUAGGUUGUUCUUUUACAGAAGCAUCUGUAAGCAAGUUCAAAAGAAGGGGCAACCUCUGGAGAGUCAGGCACUAUGUUGGCCUCUGGUGCACUGUCGCUUUCACAUGGGAUCUCCUGCUUGUGUAUGUUGGGAGUGAAUCCUUGCAUUUAUCAGACUAAAUUAAAAUGAGCACUAUAAUGAAUUCCUUGCACACACAGACAUGACAUUUGCAGGCAAGUCACUAAGUACACAUGUCCUGAUAAUGUUCCUUCAUUUCAAAUGGAUUCUCUUCUCAUUUAUCAUCUGCUGGAAAGAACCCUGGCUGAUGAGAACUAAGGCUGGCCAGGAAGGAGAAGGGGAAGGAGAACAAAGCAAAUUCAGGUGGUGUUAGUAACAGCCCCACUCAGCCAUAAAAAAGAACGAAAUAAUGCCAUUUGCAGCAACAUGGAUGCAACUAGAGAUGAUUAUAGUAGGUGAAGCAAGUCAGAAAGAGAAAGACAAAUACAAUAUGAUAUCACUUAUGUGUGGAUAGGCACAAAUGAACCUAUCUACGGAAUAGAAACAGGUCACGGAUAUAGAGGACAGACUGUCGUUGCCAAGGGGGAGGGGGAGGGAGUGGGAUGGCCUGGGAGUUUGGGGUUAGUAGAUGCAAACUAUCCCAUUUAGAAUGGAUAAGCAAUGAGGUCCUGCUGUACAGCACAGGGAACUCUAUCCAGUCUUUUGGGAUAGAACAUGAUGGAAGAUAAUAUAUGAAAGGGAACAUAUAUGUAUAUAUGUAUGUAUGACUGGGUCACUUUGCUGUACAGCAGAAAUUGGCACAACAUUGUAAAUCAACUAUACUCUAAUAAAGAAUAAGUAGGAGCUCCCAUUGUGGCUCAGCUGGUUAAGAACCCAACAUAGUGUCAGUGAGGAUACGCGUUCAAUCCGUGACCUCGAUCAGUGGGUUAAGGCUCAGAUCCAGCAUUGCCUAGCCCGGGAGUUUCCAUGUGCCAUAGAUGCAGCUAUUUUAAAAAAAGGAAAAAAUAAAAAUAAAAAA